AAGCAAUCAGAGACAAUGCAGAUAAAUUAUCUGAUGCAAAUAUUAUUACUAAGAUUUUGAAAUUUGCAGCAACACUGCUUGUUAUUGGCCAUUUUCAUUAAGGAUUUCGGAAAACAAGCCCCAGCAGAAUCAAAAAGUGGUUAUUUCGAAACUUCCAAGCGAAAAUUAACUCACAUUUUCUCCGGAAAUAAAUAUUUGACUCCAUACUAUA
rnacentral:lncRNA from 1 species